AGACCGAUAGCGAACAAGUAGAGUGAUCGAAAGAUGAAAAGCACUUUGAAAAGAGAGUUAAACAGUAUGUGAAAUUGUUGAAAGGGAAGCGCUUACAACCAGACUUGAGCGCGGCGGUUCCCCCUUGCUUCUGCUUGGGUUACUCCGCCGUGUCCAGGCCAACAUCGGUUCUGGGGGUCGGUCAAAGGCCCUGGGAAUGUAUCUACCUACGGGUAGACUUAUAGACCAGGGUGUCAUGCGGCCUCCCGGGACCGAGGAACGCGCUCCGGCUCGGAUGUUGGCGUAAUGGUUGUCAGCGACCCGUCUUGAAACACGGACCAAG
rnacentral:rRNA from 1 species